rnacentral:rRNA from 1 species
AGAAUCAACGCUGGCGGCGUGCCUAACACAUGCAAGUCGAACGAGAAAGUGGAGCAAUCCAUGAGUAAAGUGGCGCACGGGUGAGUAACACGUGACUAACCUACCCUUGAGUGGGGAUAACCUCGGGAAACCGGGCUAAUACCGCAUAAUAUCGAGAGAUCAAAGGAGCAAUUCGCUUAAGGAGGGGUCGCGGCUGAUUAGCUAGUUGGUGAGGUAAUGGCUCACCAAGGCUAUGAUCAGUA